CCUACGGGAGGCAGCAGUGGGGAAUAUUGCACAAUGGGGGAAACCCUGAUGCAGCGACGCCGCGUGAGUGAAGAAGGAUUUCGGUACGGAAAGCUCUAUCAGCAGGGAAGAAAAUGACGGUACCUGACUAAGAAGCCCCGGCUAACUACGUUCCAGCAGCCGCGGUAAUACGUAGGGGGCAAGCGUUAUCCGGAUUUACUGGGGGUAAAGGGGGCGUAGACGGCCGCGCAAGUCUGGAGUGAAAUCCCAUGGCUUAACCGUGAAACUGCUUUGGAUACUGGGAAGCUGGAGUGCAGGAGAGGUAGGCGGAAUUCGUGGUGUAGCGGUGAAAUGCGUAGAUAUUAGGAGGAACACCAGUGGCGAAGGCGGCUUACUGGACUGUAACUGACGUUGAGGCUCGAAAGCGUGGGGAGCAAACAGGAUUAGAUACCCGUGUAGUC
rnacentral:rRNA from 1 species